rnacentral:rRNA from 1 species
GACGAACGCUGGCGGCGUGCUUAACACAUGCAAGUCGAACGGGUCUGCCCUGUUUUUUGCGGGGUGGGUCAGUGGCGAACGGGUGAGUAACACGUGAGUAACCUGCCCCUCACUUCUGGAUAACCGCUUGAAAGGGUGGCUAAUACGGGGUGUUCUGGCUGUGCCGCAUGGUGUGGCUGGGAAAGAUUCACUUUUGUGGUGUUUUGGUGGGGGAUGGGCUCGCGGCCUAUCAGCUUGUUGGUGGGGUGAUGGCCUGCCAAGGCUUUGACGGGUAGCCGGCCUGGGAGGGUGGGCGGGCAGACUGGGGCGGAGAGACGGCCCAGACUCGUGCGGGAGGCAGCAGUGGGGGGUAUGGGACGAUGGGCGGAAGCCUGAUGCAGCGACGGCGCGUGAGGGAUGGAGGCCUUCGGGUUGUGAACCUCUUUCGCCGGUGAAGAAGGUCCUGCUCUUUGUGGUGGGGUUGACGGUAGCCGGGUUAUGAAGCGCCGGCUAACUACGUG